CGUUAGAUGACUGAAUGUAAGUGCAGAUCUUUUAAAUCUGCUAUAGUAGUUUCACAUCUACUUCUGGCGA
rnacentral:tRNA from 1 species